UGAGGAAUAUUGGUCAAUGGGCGAGAGCCUGAACCAGCCAAGUCGCGUGAGGGAAGACGGUCCUACGGAUUGUAAACCUCUUUUGUCGGGGAGCAAUAAAGCGUACGCGUACGCAGAUGCGAGUACCCGAAGAAAAAUGCAUCGGCUAACUCCGUGCCAGCAGCCGCGGUAAUACGGAGGAUGCGAGCGUUAUCCGGAUUUAUUGGGUUUAAAGGGUGCGCAGGCGGAAAGUGCAAGUCAGCGGUCAAACGACGGGGCUCAACCCCGUCUCGCCGUUGAAACUGUCUUUCUAGAGUGAGCGAGAAGUAUGCGGAAUGCGUGGUGUAGCGGUGAAACUGCAUAGAUAUCACGCAGAACUCCGAUUGCGAAGGCAGCAUACCGGCGCUCAACUGACGCUCAUGCACGAAAGCGUGGGUAUCGAACAGGAUUAGAUACC
rnacentral:rRNA from 1 species